AGAGUUGAUCCUGGCUCAGGAUGAACGCUAGCGGCAGGCUUAACACAUGCAAGUCGAGGGGCAGCGGGAUGUAGCAAUACAUUGCCGGCGACCGGCGGAUGGGUGCGUAACGCGUAUGCAACCUACCUUAUACAGGGGAAUAACCUUUCGAAAGGGAGACUAACACCCCAUAGUAUUGAUUUAAGGCAUCUUAGAUUAAUUAAAUAUUUAUAGGUAUAAGAUGGGCAUGCGUAUGAUUAGCUAGUUGGUAAGGUAACGGCUUACCAAGGCGACGAUCAUUAGGGGUUCUGAGAGGAAGGUCCCCCACACUGGUACUGAGACACGGACCAGACUCCUACGGGAGGCAGCAGUGAGGAAUAUUGGUCAAUGGGCGCAAGCCUGAACCAGCCAUGCCGCGUGCAAGGAAGACGGCCUUAUGGGUUGUAAACUGCUUUUACAUAAGACUAACCGUAUAUUUGCGAAUAUACCUGAAUGUAUUAUGAGAAUAAGGAUCGGCUAACUCCGUGCCAGCAGCUGC
rnacentral:rRNA from 1 species